UACGUAGGGUCCGAGCGUUGUCCGGAAUUAUUGGGCGUAAAGGGCUCGUAGGCGGUUUGUCGCGUCGGGAGUGAAAACACCGGGCUUAACUCGGCGCUUGCUUUCGAUACGGGCAGACUGGAGGUAUGCAGGGGAGAACGGAAUUCCUGGUGUAGCGGUGAAAUGCGCAGAUAUCAGGAGGAACACCGGUGGCGAAGGCGGUUCUCUGGGCAUUACCUGACGCUGAGGAGCGAAAGUGUGGGGAGCGAACAGG
rnacentral:rRNA from 1 species